rnacentral:rRNA from 1 species
UACGGGGGGAGCAAGCGUUGUUCGGAAUUACUGGGCGUAAAGGGCGCGUAGGCGGCCUGUUAAGUCGAACGUGAAAUCCCUGGGCUCAACCCAGGAACUGCGUCCGAUACUGGCAGGCUUGAAUCCGGGAGAGGGAUGCGGAAUUCCAGGUGUAGCGGUGAAAUGCGUAGAUAUCUGGAGGAACACCGGUGGCGAAGGCGGCAUCCUGGACCGGCAUUGACGCUGAGGCGCGAAAGCCAGGGGAGCAAACGGG